rnacentral:rRNA from 1 species
AACAAACGCUGGCGGCGUGCCUAACACAUGCAAGUCGUACGAGAAAGGGUCCUUCGGGGCCUGAGUAAAGUGGCGCACGGGUGAGUAACGCGUGGAUAAUCUGCCCUUCAGCUGGGAAUAACUCAUCGAAAGGUGGGCUAAUACCGAAUAAUGCUGUGAGACCUCGGUUGAUCAGCCAAAGAGAGCCUCUGCUUGCAAGCCCUCGCUGAAGGAUGAGGACGCGUACCAUUAGCUAGUUGGUAGGGUAAUGGCCUACAAAGGCGACGAUGGUUAGCUGGUCUGAGAGUAUGAUCAACCUCACUGGAACUGAGACACGGUCCAGACUCCGACGGGAGGCAGCAGUGAGGAAGCUUGCGCAAUGGGGGCAACCCUGACGCAGCAACGCCGCGUGAGUGAGGAAGGGCUUCGGAUCGUAAAGCUCUGUCGGAUGGAAAAAACCGCAUAGGGGUAAACAGCCCCUGUGUCUGACGGUACCAUCAAAGGAAGCACCGGCUAACUCCGUGCCAGCCGCCGCCGUAAUAC